GACGAACGCUGGCGGCGUGCUUAACACAUGCAAGUCGAACGAAGUGGCGAACGGGUGAGUAACGCGUAAUCAACCUGCCCUUCGGAGGGGGACAACAGUUGGAAACGACUGCUAAUACCCCAUACUGAAGGAGGGGUUUGCGUGUGAUUAGCUAGUUGGGGGGGUAACGGCCCACCAAGGCGAUGGUCAGUAGCCGGUCUGGGGGGGUGAACGGCCACAAUGGGACUGGGACACGGCCCAGACUCCUUCGGGAGGGAGCAGUGGGGAAUCUUCCGCAAUGGACGGAAGUCCGACGGAGCAACGCCGCGUGAGUGAUGACGGCCUUCGGGGUGGAAAGCUCUUUUAAUCGGGACGCGGUACCGGAAGAGAAAGCCACGGCUAACUACGUGCCAGCAGCCGCGGUAAUAC
rnacentral:rRNA from 1 species